UAACAGCCACAGUAACAGCAACAAGAAAGAUAAGGACAAUACUAAAAGAGAGGGCAAAGUCUUGGUAUUUGCACACCCAGCUCCAAUUUAAAAAGAAAAAAAAGGUUUAGAAUUAAAAAGAUUCAUUCUGGACUUGGAGGUUGUCUGUUGGUAGAGACUUAAAGCUGGCUGUUGUAAAAGGUGACUAGACGUGGACAAAGGCAGAGCUUGGAGGAAACAUGUGAAGGAUUUGAGCAUCAAGGGGGCAGUGGUUCUGACCAGUUCUGCUGAAGCAUGAGUUAUGCUCUGAUCCUCACCCAGCUCCAAGUCAGCCCCAGAGAAACUGCCAAGGAAGGCAAACCUGAGAGGCAGCAGUAAAUACUCCCCCCGUGAACAUUCCUGCGAGACACAGACUGCUGGGCCAGGGCAAAGGCUGUACCUGUGGCGCUCCCGAUGAUAUCUGGCUGAGGAAGACCUGCCGAGGAACUGAAAAAAUUCGAAAAAUCAUUGACUCAUUUUCAUCUGGAUGCUGAACCGUGGGAUGGCCAGCCUUCAUCUGAGAAAACUGGCUCUCAUAGUACUGGACUUGAGAAA